rnacentral:rRNA from 1 species
AUGCCGACGGAUGCAGGCAAGAAGGCGUAUGUUGUUGCCCUGGUGAUCCAGGUGAUCUACACCGGCAUGUACGUCGUCUCCAAGGCGGCCUUCGAUGGCGGCAUGAACACCUUCGUCUUCAUCUUCUACCGCCAGGCAGCCGCCACUCUCCUCUUGCUACCCCUCGCCAUCCUCCUCGAGAGGAGAAACGCGCCACCCAUGUCACUGUGGUUGUUUACCAAGAUCUUCAUGUACGCGCUACUCGGGAACACGGUGAGCAUGAACCUGCACAACAUCAGCCUCAAGUACACGUCGGCGACCGUGGCAUCAGCCACGAGCAACUCCAUCCCCGUCAUCACCUUCCUCUUCGCCGUCCUGCUCCAUCUCGAAGCCAUCAAGCUCCGCGCCGCCUCGGGCACGGCGAAGCUCGCCGGCGUCGCGCUCUGCGUGGCCGGCAUCCUCGUCAUCGCCCUCUACGCCGGUCCGCCGCUCAGCCCCCUCAACCACCACCGCGCCUUCCACGCGCACGCCGCCGCAACGGCCGCCGGGAAGCAGGGGGAGUGGAUGAAAGGCACGUUCCUGAUGCUCCUGGCCAACGUGACGUGGUCGCUCUGGAUCGUCCUGCAGGCGCGCCUCCUCAAGGAGUACUCCAACAAGCUGCUGGCCACGGCGCUGCAGUGCCUGCUCAGCACGGUGCAGUCGCUCGCGCUGGCGGCGGCCGUGACCGGCGGUGGCGGGGAGGACAUGUCGGCCGCCUGGACGCUGCGGUUGGACGUGGGUCUCGUCGCCGUCGCCUACUCCGGGUUCGUGGUCACGGGGGUGUCCUUCUACCUCCAGGCGUGGUGCAUCGAGAGGCGGGGCCCCGUGUUCUUGGCCAUGUCUAAUCCGGUGGGGCUCGUGCUCACCGUGUUCUGCUCCUCCUUCUUCCUCGGCGAGGUCGUCCACCUCGGCAGCGUCCUCGGCGGGGCGCUGCUCGUCGCCGGCCUGUACAGCGUGCUCUGGGGGAAGAGCAAGGAGCAGCCACCGCCGCCGCCGCUUAGUGCAGCUCCUGCAUCAGAAACCAUCAUGAAACAAGGAUGCGAUGGUAGCAAUGCUCGCACCGGCGCCAUGAACAAGGAAGAGGACGACGAGGUGAAACUGGAGGAGGAGAAGAGAGCCAAGCUGGAUUCACAGGUGUAG